GGGCCUGUAGCUUAACCUGGGAAAGUACACGACUGAAGCUCGUGUUAUUGUGACUGAUUAACAGGAAUUGUUAGUUGGCAAUAAGGUUCAAAUCCCACCGGGCCCA
rnacentral:tRNA from 1 species